CCGUGCAGCCGGGGAGAUAGCGGUGCCCUGUACCUGCAAUCCGCUACAGCAGGGGUGAUGUCUUGCCUAGGAUAACUUAUUGCAUAGCUGCCCUCUAUAAGUGAUGUUGACGUUUGGGUCUUACGCAAUGAAAAUUUGUGAAUCGUGUCAGGGCAGGAAUGCAGCAGCACUAAGCAAAACCUUUCGUGUGCCGUGAGGGAGCCUGAACCGAGUUAACUGUAGAGGUAACGUUUGUGGUAAUUAUUCGAAGCAAGGCGCACGG
rfam:Clostridium phytofermentans ISDg, complete genome.